rnacentral:rRNA from 1 species
UGGGGAAUAUUGGACAAUGGGCGCAAGCCUGAUCCAGCCAUGCCGCGUGAGUGAUGAAGGCCCUAGGGUUGUAAAGCUCUUUCACCGGUGAAGAUAAUGACGGUAACCGGAGAAGAAGCCCCGGCUAACUUCGUGCCAGCAGCCGCGGUAAUACGAAGGGGGCUAGCGUUGUUCGGAUUUACUGGGCGUAAAGCGCACGUAGGCGGACUUUUAAGUCAGGGGUGAAAUCCCGGGGCUCAACCCCGGAACUGCCUUUGAUACUGGAAGUCUUGAGUAUGGUAGAGGUGGGUGGAAUUCCGAGUGUAGAGGUGAAAUUCGUAGAUAUUCGGAGGAACACCAGUGGCGAAGGCGGCUCACUGGAACAUUACUGACGCUGAGGUGCGAAAGCGUGGGGAGCAAACAGG